UACGUAGGGUGCGAGCGUUAAUCGGAAUUACUGGGCGUAAAGCGUGCGCAGGCGGUUUUGUAAGCCAGAUGUGAAAUCCCCCGGGCUUAACCUGGGAAUGGCAUUUGGGACUGCAAGGCUGGAGUGCGGCAGAGGAGACUGGAAUUCCUGGUGUAGCGGUGAAAUGCGCAGAUAAUCAGGAGGAACACCGAUGGAGCGGAACGGCCAGGUCUCGUCGGGAGCCCAGUACUGGGACGAGAGCGAAA
rnacentral:rRNA from 1 species